rnacentral:rRNA from 1 species
UACGUAGGGUGCGAGCGUUAAUCGGAAUUACUGGGCGUAAAGCGUGCGUAGGCGGUUUCAUAAGCUUGAUGUGAAAGCCCCGGGCUCAACCUGGGAAUGGCAUUGAGGACUGUGGAGCUAGAGUGCGGCAGAGGGAGGUGGAAUUCCACGUGUAGCAGUGAAAUGCGUAGAGAUGUGGAGGAACACCGAUGGCGAAGGCAGCCUCCCGGGCCGACACUGACGCUGAGGGCACGAAAGCGUGGGGAGCAAACAGG